rnacentral:rRNA from 1 species
GAUGAACGCUGGCGGCGUGCUUAACACAUGCAAGUCGAACGAUGAAGCCCAGCUUGCUGGGUGGAUUAGUGGCGAACGGGUGAGUAACACGUGAGUAACCUGCCCUUAACUCUGGGAUAAGCCUGGGAAACUGGGUCUAAUACCGGAUAGGAGCGUCCACCGCAUGGUGGGUGUUGGAAAGAUUUAUCGGUUUUGGAUGGACUCGCGGCCUAUCAGCUUGUUGGUGAGGUAAUGGCUCACCAAGGCGACGACGGGUAGCCGGCCUGAGAGGGUGACCGGCCACCCUGGAAUUGAGAGAGGCCCCGGCCCCCUCCGGGAGGAAGCAGGGGGGAUUGUUGCACAAUGGGCGAAAGCCUGCUGCAGCGACGCGGGGUGGGGGAGGCCGGCCUUCGGGUGUAAACCUCUUUCAGUAGGGAAGAAGCGAAAGUGACGGUACCUGCAGAAGAAGCACCGGCUAACUACGUG